rnacentral:lncRNA from 1 species
CAAAACCCAUUUCACUAUCUCUCCCUCUCCAAACCAACCAAUAAACAAUGUUCCCACAACCUUAAAACCUUCAAAACCCACGCACCCAAACCACCCACCACAGUAUGCUUUCCUUAGCUCACCCCUUCUUCCUCCUUCUUCUCGCUCUCCUUUCUCCCACCGCCUCCCUCACCCACCGGACCAAUGCCACCACCAUCUACGAGGUCCUCCGCGACUACGGGCUACCCAUGGGCCUCUUCC